GGGCUUGUGGUUUAGUGGUAUAAUACUCCCUUAGCACGUGACGAUGCAUGUCGCCGCCAUUGUUCACGAUGGUUGGUGUUUGUUUGAACCGUUCUAACUUGGGAGUGGUCCGGGGUUCGAUUCCCCGCGAGUCCA